AACAAGUCCUCCAGCUCCCCUAUAUAUUUGUUCUUCACAAAGCUUUGAAGAAAAGAAGAGCUGCAUACGAAUUGAAGACGAACAACAACGAAAAAAGAGUGAAAAAUGAAUGCACCGGAUCGUUACGAACGAUUUGUUGUACCAGAAGGCGUUAAAAAGGUUUCGUAUGAGAGGGAUACGAAGAUAAUGAAUGCAGCAACAUUUACUGUUGAAAGAGAAGACCACACUAUUGGCAACAUUGUUCGCAUGUUGAUGGUGGGUGGCUAACUGGAUUAAACAGUAUUGUGCCUGAAAGAUGAUGCAUGACAGUCUUCACCACUAUGUAUUUGAAUAUGAAUGACCUAUUACCAGAAAUCAAAUCCAUGUGAUGAUGGGGUAGUAUGAUUCACAGUGAACCAUUGAGCAUUUUUGUUACAUUCCAAAUCAUUGUAUCCUUGUAAUAUAACUCGCUUUUCAAUUGAAAUCUUCAUAGUUGAUUUUCAUAUAACUAAGACUUGUCUGGGCACGAUUUGUGUAUCUGUAAGUUUUGAUCGAAGAAAUUGACUACUUGGAUAAAAACAAGUUUUUUUUCCCCUAUAUAUAGUGCCAUCCCAAGAUGAGAAUGCUAGAAGAUUUUAAUCACCAAUUGAGAAAUGAAAGAUUUCAAUCUGGUUAAAUUUCAUAUAAAUCUCAAUUCCAUUUGUAUACACACUUUCAACCACCUACUUUUAAUCUGAUAAUCUAUU